rnacentral:rRNA from 1 species
GUGGGGAAUAUUGGACAAUGGGCGAAAGCCUGAUCCAGCAAUGCCGCGUGAGUGAUGAAGGCCCUAGGGUUGUAAAGCUCUUUUACCCGGGAUGAUAAUGACAGUACCGGGAGAAUAAGCUCCGGCUAACUUCGUGCCAGCAGCCGCGGUAAUACGAGGGGAGCUAGCGUUGUUCGGAAUUACUGGGCGUAAAGCGCGCGUAGGCGGUUUUUUAAGUCAGAGGUGAAAGCCCGGGGCUCAACCCCGGAAUUGCCUUUGAAACUGGAAAACUAGAAUCUUGGAGAGGUCAGUGGAAUUCCGAGUGUAGAGGUGAAAUGCGUAGAUAUUCGGAAGAACACCAGUGGCGAAGGCGACUGACGGAACAAGUAUUGACGCUGAGGUGCGAAAGCGUGGGGAGCAAACAGGAUUAGAAACCCUUGUAGUCC